rnacentral:rRNA from 1 species
AGUGAACGCUGGCGGUAGGCCUAACACAUGCAAGUCGAACGGCAGCACAGUAAGAGCUUGCUCUUACGGGUGGCGAGUGGCGGACGGGUGAGGAAUACAUCGGAAUCUACUUUUUCGUGGGGGAUAACGUAGGGAAACUUACGCUAAUACCGCAUACGACCUACGGGUGAAAGCAGGGGAUCUUCGGACCUUGCGCGAUUGAAUGAGCCGAUGUCGGAUUAGCUAGUUGGCGGGGUAAAGGCCCACCAAGGCGACGAUCCGUAGCUGGUCCGAGAGGAUGAUCAGCCACACUGGAACUGAGACACGGUCCAGACUCCUACGGGAGGCAGCAGUGGGGAAUAUUGGACAAUGGGCGCAAGCCUGAUCCAGCCAUACCGCGUGGGUGAAGAAGGCCUUCGGGUUGUAAAGCCCUUUUGUUGGGAAAGAAAAGCAGCAGGUUAAUACCCCGCUAUUCUGACGGUACCCAAAGAAUAAGCACCGGCUAACUUCGUG